CUUGACCAGGGCCACUGUAUUCAAGAUGGCUAUUUGCCAACUCCCACUCAUUCUGACAGUUGACUCAGAUUCUAUAGACUGACACCUUAGCUGGUUCAGCCCAAACCAUAAGGAUUAUAAAUUAACUAGACACUGGUGUUAUUUAAGGAAGGUUAAAGAUGGUCUAAAGGGAGCUUGUCAUGAAGGAGGAAAAACAUGCAAUACUACAUAACUUGGAAGAGAGAAGGGAUCCAUCAGUGAACAUGAGAAGUGGACAUCCAAAGAAAAGCAGGUCACCCUGAACACCAAGAAGGAUGCUUGACACCUGAUUAGAAUAGAAUAGUGACAGUGAUUAAAGAGGAAGGAGAAAGAUGCAGAAGCCUGAGACAUUUGGCUCCACUGAAGAAGGAAAAGACAACCUGUAGGGACUCCUAUUCCCACAGAACUAUCCCCCUUUUUAUUACUUGAACUAUUAAAACAACUUUAUUUAAAGAAAUAGUCAGAUUCAAAUCAUACCAGUUUGGGAGAAAGAGAGGGUGUUGCGUCGGCUAUGGGAGAGGGAAAGGUGGGGGGGGAGGGGAGGAAAAGAAAAUGAUCUUUGUUUCCAGUGAAUAAUGUAUGGAAACGACCAAAUAAAAUAAUGUUUAAAAAAAAAAGAAAGAGAGGGUGUUGGGCUAGGCUGGCCAUUUAGCCUUGGCUAAAGAACAAAGAACCAAUAGGAACAAUCAGCCUGCCUAACAAGUAGGACUUCUAGGGGCUCAGGCACCAGCCAAGUCCUGAGGGCAAGUGAACUCCAAAAUUACCAGGAACCUACUUAUUUGAGACACAGUCCUGUUCAUCCUUACCACAACAUCACUUCAAGGGUACCUCUCUCGUGGAUUUGAAGUGUGAGGGAAAGGGAGAAUUACACAGAUCAUCUCUCAGCCCCAGUGAUUCUCUUUUCUACCUCACCAGCCCUCCUUAUCCCUUCUAUGCCUUUACCUUCUCCAUUCCCUGUUACAACCCAUCAAUAUCCCUUUCAUCAUCCUUACAUAAUUCAGGGGACAUUUGCUAUCUUCAGUGGGGACCUUUUGAGAUAAUAGUGAGAGACU